UGGGGAAUAUUGCACAAUGGGCGGAAGCCUGAUGCAGCGACGCCGCGUGGGGGAUGAAGGCCUUCGGGUUGUAAACUCCUUUCGACAGGGACGAAGCUUUUGUGACGGUACCUGUAUAAGAAGCACCGGCUAACUACGUGCCAGCAGCCGCGGUAAUACGUAGGGUGCGAGCGUUGUCCGGAAUUACUGGGCGUAAAGAGCUCGUAGGUGGUUUGUCGCGUCGUCUGUGAAAUUCCGGGGCUUAACUCCGGGCGUGCAGGCGAUACGGGCUUACUUGAGUGCUGUAGGGGAGACUGGAAUUCCUGGUGUAGCGGUGAAAUCCGCAGAUAUCAGGAGGACCACCGAUGGCGAAGGCAGGUCUCUGGGCAGUAACUGACGCUGCGGAGCGAAAGCAUGGGUAGCGAACAGG
rnacentral:rRNA from 1 species